UCGAUGCCGAUGUAAUCCAAUGGUAUUUUCCAGUGUUAUGAAUCUGUAUUCCUUCACCCUGUGUGUUCACGAACGAAGUUUGGGAUAAGAUGGUGUCCUGUAAGCCACUGAUAUGUGGAAACUUUUUCUUUAAUAGUUUUUGCGCAGCGUUCAUGUGACGAUCAUUCAGCAUUCUUUGAGAUUUUAGUAUCGCCUUAUCUUCGUUCUUUAAACUGAGUUCUUUGAUCCAAUAUUCGCCAGACGUUUCUUUAAUCAUGAAGGAGAAAAAACAUACAAGUCCAAAUUAAAGACACGUAUAGCACAUUAAUGCUAUAUCGGACCCAUGUAACGAAAGGCUGAACUGAAAAUGAAUCACUUUAACUUUAA